AUUGAACGCUGGCGGCAGGCCUAACACAUGCAAGUCGAACGAGUGGCGGACGGGUGAGUAAUGGCUGGGAAACUGCCUGAUGGCGGGGGAUAACUACUGGCAACGGUAGCUAAUACCGCAUACCCUCGGAUGUGCCCAGAUGGGAUUAGCUAGUAGGUGGGGUAACGGCUCACCUAGGCGACGAUCCCUAGCUGGUCUGAGAGGAUGACCAGACACACUGGAACUGAGACACGGUCCAGACUCCGACGGAAGGCAGCAGUGGGGAAUAUGGCACAAUGGGCGAAAGCCUGAUGCAGCCAUGCCGCGGGGGUGAAGAAGGCCUUCGGGUUGUAAAGCACGUUAAGUUGGGAGGCGUGACCAACAGAAUAAGCACCGGCUAACUUCGUGCCAGCAGCCGCGGUAAUAC
rnacentral:rRNA from 1 species